AUGAUGAUGAUGAUGAUCAUCAUGAUUUAACAUUCAUCAUCAUACUGGCAUGUGUUGGAUGGUUUGGCAGGAGCUGACUAGCUGAAGAGCUGUUCAGGCUUCCUGUCUGUUUUGGUGUGGAUUCUAUGGCUGGGUGCCCUUCCUAAUGCCAACCAC